UUCAGGUGCCUUUCACAAGGACGUGCGUGUUCUGGUGUUCAGUGAUCCUAAGGGCACUCUUACAGAAUGUGGAAACAAUAAAUUCAUCGCUGGUGACUUCCAAAUAUUUGUACGCUUUGUCCUAAUUAUCGAGGUGGUUCCGCUUCUCAUGUAAUAAUCGCCUGGUGGUGCUGAAAAAGUUUGACUGAAAUUGAGAUACGCGUAUAACAAGCAAGCAUUUCAAUAGUUCCAAACAAAAAGAGGAAGCUGAGAUACACAGCAUACCGGAUAUUCGUAAGCUGGGCAUGGGGAAGGUCCAGGCGACAUCGGCUACCUGGGCAUGUUUUCCGAAAGAUUCGGGAAGGAUUUCCGUCGUCUGACUACCACUUAUUUUCUUGGGCAUAAGACGAUCAACCUCCACUGCUUGUCUGCCUUCGACCAACGCUGGGCAUACUGUUCCUCGCCAUCCGCUGUCAGCUUUAUGGCCCUCUC